rnacentral:lncRNA from 1 species
UCACAUUGGUGGACAUUGUGAAUGAAUGGAUGCACUCAAAUCUGAAUAGUUUCCUGAUCAAGAUUUCAAUUGUUUCAUUACCAUAGAAAUGGG